rnacentral:precursor_RNA from 8 species
CAUAGAAAAUAACAUUGUCAGAUGUGUCAUUCCCAGAUACAAUGGACAAUAUGCUGUUAUAAUUGUGUGGCAUUGUCCUUGCUGUUUGGAGAUAAUACUGCUGACAUUAUUCCUCUCAUACAU